GACGAACGCUGGCGGCGUGCUUAACACAUGCAAGUCGAACGGAAAGGCCCUGCUUUUGUGGGGUGCUCGAGUGGCGAACGGGUGAGUAACACGUGAGUAACCUGCCCUUGACUUUGGGAUAACUUCAGGAAACUGGGGCUAAUACCGGAUAGGAGCUCCUGCUGCAUGGUGGGGGUUGGAAAGUUUCGGCGGUUGGGGAUGCACUCGCGGCUUAUCAGUUUGUUGGUGGGGUAGUGGCUUACCAAGGCUUUGACGGGUAGUCGGCCUGAGAGGGUGACCGGCCACAUUGGGACUAGGAUACGGCCCAGACUCCUACGGGGGACAGAGAUGGGGAAUAUUGCAAAAUGGGCUGAAGCCUGAUGCAGCAACGCCGCGUGCGGGAUGACGGCCUUCGGGUUGUAAACCGCUUUCGCCUGUGACGAAGCGUGAGUGACGGUAAUGGGUAAAGAAGCACCGGCUAACUACGUG
rnacentral:rRNA from 1 species